GUUGAUCGCUAUUGACAAAAUAGAGGAAACUCCAUGCUUGCACAAGGUGUUAAUCUUGUAGUGUUUGUGUAUAGAUUAAUUUCUAUAGCGCUCCCAAGUGACGGAAAGUCUAAUCUAAGGUAAUAAUUACUAUGAUGAAGCUUUAAUAGUACCACAGAGACGAGUUAAUUAGAAAUGAUUAAAUGAAACGCGGUAAACCCCACAAGCAAGAAACCUAAAUUAAGGUAAGGGAAUUUUUAAAUUUGAAUUGAAAAAUUUAAAAAAUAAAGUAAAAAUACUUUAUAGAUAAAUGAUCAACUUAAACAGAACAUGGGUUAUA
rnacentral:RNase_P_RNA from 1 species